rnacentral:rRNA from 1 species
AAGCCGCGUGAGGGAUGGAGGUACAGAGUAUCGUAAACCUCUUUUGUCAGGGAACAAAGGGCGCCACGUGUGGCGCUAUGAGGGUACCUGAAGAAAAAGCAUCGGCUAACUCCGUGCC